ACUAACCGCAGAGCUGAGGCCAGUGCAGGCUCCUCUGCCUCCUACCGCCCAGGGCAAGCUUAGGAGGUGUCCUAAACCUGCCUAAAUUGCCAGGGCAACUGUGAGGCAAUGCACAGAAGCUCACUCGGCCACAGGGUGAUACAGUGGACCCACGCAGAGCCAAGGAAGCUGCACAGGGACAAGGGCUGAUGAUAUUGAAAGUUCAUAUGGAUCAGGUGAUUUCACUGUGAAAGGCUUCCUCCACAGACUGAGCAUCAUCAAUGACUGGGCAAAAUUCCACUGGGCUCUUCUAGACUUUUUCCAAGGACUAUUUCUGGAAACAAACUUCAACAUUCCCAGAAAGUCACAUGAAGAGUUCACACCGAGUCUCAGAGGAGCCAAUGAACAAAAUCUGGGACUAUAAAGACCAUGAAGUCCUUUGAAGAGUGACUAAGCGCAUUGUACACCGAGAUGCACAGGAGCCUGUAGAAACUAAGACAUUUGGAGCAGCAGGAUGCCAUUGAGAAGAGGUUGGGAAUGUUAAAGCUGUAAGUUCCAGUCCAUUCUCAGAAAGCUAACCAAGAGACGUCUUGUAUCAGAUCAACUCUCAGAAUCAGAAGGUCUCAGAGGGCAUAAGAGUGGGCCAGUUCCUACGUAAGAGUUGGUCCUUCAGCAUGUGGUUGCAGAUUACAUCUCCAAGGCUGAGGCAGGAACCUGGCUGCUUCCUCCAGCUGGAGCACUGGGUCUUGAUCUGUUUGUGCUAGUGGUUUAGAGGAAAGCUACAGUCUUCCUCCUCAUCUUCUUCCAUUAGUGGCCCUAUGAGUGUGACUAUAGAGUCAUCAAUCUUCCGUCAAAGUCAGGGAUCCAGAGGCAGGAUCCAACUGAGAACUAGGCAGGUGAAACUGACAUGUAUGCAGUUUCAGGAGCUCCUUGCCUUAUGCAUGUAUUGUAGGUAAAGAACAGGGACCAAUCAGGGGAAAGCCUGCCAAACCCAGAGAAGAAAGGACAGCCAGAAACUACCCAGGACAGAGAAUCGGGUGGGGGGAGGGAUUCAAUCAGGUCUGCUGCUCUGUCCCCUAUCCCUCACUGCACUGCAGAGAAAGCUGGACAAGAAGGCAGGAGAUUAUGGUCCAAUCGCAAUCGCAACUGGAGUUUUCACCUGUGUUCAUUUCCCAGUGUUAUUUUUAAAAGUCUCCAGCUGUUGAUUCAACCUCCAGUUGGGGCUGCUAUUAUCUUUCCCUCUCCUUUCAACAUGAAUCCCUUGGGGCUAGAGGUAAAGAUGACUAGAAUGCCCUAUGAAAACCUCUGCCAUGGUAUAGAUGACUAGAAUACCCUAUGAAGAACCUCUGCCAUUUGCUACCUCCCUCUUCUGUUCUGGAAAGGCCCUGAGUCCUAGGAUAAAGAACACAUAGGAGCCACAGUUUCCCACAUGUGUCCUUGUUUGUUCUGUGUGCCCACAUAAAGCUUACCUUAACACAGUGUCCUCAGAGCCAUGGAGCGCGAUAUGCAGUAGCUGAGCACUUUAAAUCCAAGGAGAUGCAUGCCUGAGUGACUGAUCACUCUGCUCUUCCUCCCUCUCCAAGCUGGGUCUCCUGUCUCAUUUGUUGAUUUUUAUUUUCUCUCCCCCAUUACUUCCUAUUCCCACCUCAUACAACUCCCUCCUCACUAGGACAGUGUCUAGAUAAAACCUCCAAUUUACUUCACCCUGAGACUGUACAUAAUUCUGGUUUACCAAUAGACAAGGACAUGGGUAAAAGCAGAGAUAAAACCAAAUGUCAAGUUAUACCUGGCUUUCUCCUGUCAGUUGUUUUUAUAAAUCUCACCUUGCCCACUCAUUUUUGGGGGGACACCCUCAUUUGACAAAUCUGACAAACAUGAUGAGGGUUUGGAGGGUAAUAUGAAGCAGCAAAGUCUUAAGAGGCAUAUCCUACUUUUCCUCCCACCCCUACCCCCCCACCCCCGGGCUGGCCUGAACUAGAUUCUGAUGUCUCAAUGUGUUCGGGGACACUUUGAAAGGUCUUCUUUGAUAAACUGUAGGAGAAGCUUGUUUCUUCUGUGUAUACCCCACUGCUCCUGAGUAAGCAAAUACAUGGUUCAGUCAUAAAGCCUCUCUGGGCUUUGCUCAGAAUAGUUGUCCUCUCCUGCACAACAGGGGCAUUUGUCUCCCCUCUCUGCUCUCACUGGUCUUUAUCAGUUCAUAAAAUGUCAAAGGGAGGGUCACUGGCUCUGCUUCUGGGGGUACAGAGAGAAAGUGUCAGGGUCUUCAGCAGAAGAGAAAGAUGUCACCCCUGAGUUCCUAAUCUUUGCUUGCAUCUUAUAACCAUUGUCCUGAUGCCUGGUCCCUAAUAGGUGGUAUAAAACCAUAGUUUCUUUAAGCUUUUGUGUGUUAAAAGUUCUUUUAUGUCUUGGGUAUCAAACCCAUUAUCUUUCAUGGCUGCCACAAUUUCAGAGUCUUGGCAGCUGGUGUCUCCAUCACAGUGACUUGUUAAAGUCUCAUCGCCUUUCAUAGCCAUGGAUGCUGCCUCAUUGGAUUUUGUACAGUUGGCUUCUACUUAGCAUUCAUUGUUAAUAAUGGACUAAUAAUGCAUGCUUAGUAAAUCUUUGAGAAAGUU